CCUAUGAGAGUCUUGUCUGGGGAGAAUCUAAGGCAUUAAACUACUUCUAAUGCUUUUCUCCUUAGGUCUCCAAACAAAACCAACAAAAAACAGAGAUUUGAAUGAAUACUGAAGGCAUUUCACAACCCAAAAACAGUAAUGCCUUUUGAAGAAAUACAACUCCCAGUAACAGCACAGAGUCUGCUAGACUGUACCCACCACCAUCAGUGGGGUUGCCUAGAUUGAUGAUGGCCUGUUCUUUGACAAGCAUCCAAGGUCCCUGGAUUUCUCCAGGCACUCAUUAGUGUGAUUGCUAAUCCCUCUCAAGGCCCUGAGGAUAGUUCUUUAGAGAUCCAAAGUGAUUAUCUGGUAUUCUAUCUAAUCUACAUUCU